rnacentral:rRNA from 1 species
GCGUCCCGGUGAAUAACGCCCUUAUCCCCUCCUAGGAAUAAGGAGCUGGCAUCAGGCACAAUAAACUGCCCAAGACGCCUAGCUACGCCACACCCACACGGGACUUCAGCAGUGGUUAACAUUGAAUAUUAGUGACAGCUUGAUUCAGUCAGGGUAAAAAGAGCCGGCCAAUCUGGUGCCAGCCGCCGCGGCUACACCAUGUGGCUCAAAUUGACCUCCAUCGGCGUAAAGCGUGAUUUAAGUGAUCAUAUCCAUUAUAGUCAAACCAGGAUAAG